rnacentral:rRNA from 1 species
UACGGAGGGUGCAAGCGUUAUCCGGAUUCACUGGGCUUAAAGGGUGCGUAGGCGGGUUGGUAAGUCAGUGGUGAAAUCCCCGAGCUUAACUUGGGAACUGCCAUUGAUACUAUCAGUCUUGAAUACCGUGGAGGUCAGCGGAAUAUGGCAUGUAGCGGUGAAAUGCUUAGAUAUGACAUAGAACACCAAUUGCGAAGGCAGCUGGCUACACGAAUAUUGACACUCAGGCACGAAAGCGUGGGGAUCAAACAGG